GAUCUUUAUAUAAUUUAUAGUUUUUAUAUAAUUAAGUUAAUUUUGUUUUUAAAAAUUAUAUUAUAUUAUAUUGGGGUAAUAAUAAAAUUGAUGAAAUUUUUGUUUUUUAAUUUCAAAGAUAAUUGAUUUUUUGAUCCAGUAUUAUUGAUUAUAAAGUUAAGUUACCUUAGGGAUAACAGCGUAAUGAUUUUUGAGAGUUCUUAUUGA
rnacentral:rRNA from 1 species